rnacentral:rRNA from 1 species
UGGGGAAUUUUUCGCAAUGGGCGCAAGCCUGACGAAGCAACGCCGCGUGGAGGAUGAAGGUCUUCGGAUUGUAAACUCCUGUCGACCGGGACGAAUGCACCCGACCUAAUACGUCGAAGUGUUGACGGUACCGGUGGAGGAAGCCACGGCUAACUCUGUGCCAGCAGCCGCGGUAAUACAGAGGUGGCAAGCGUUGUUCGGAAUUACUGGGCGUAAAGGGCGCGUAGGCGGCCUGAUAAGUCUCGUGUGAAAGCCCUCGGCUUAACUGAGGAUCUGCACGGGAUACUGUUGGGCUUGAGUUCGGGAGAGGAAAGCGGAAUUCCGGGUGUAGCGGUGAAAUGCGUAGAUAUCCGGAGGAACACCAGUGGCGAAGGCGGCUUUCUGGACCGACACUGACGCUGAGGCGCGAAAGCUAGGGGAGCAAACGGGAUUAGAUACCCACGUAGUCCCUGAGCGGGCUGGCAAGGCGCAU